GCUGGUGUGGCUCAAUUGGUAGAGCACCCGAUUUGUAAUCGGGCGGUUGGGAGUUCGAGUCUCUCCACCAGCA
rnacentral:tRNA from 1 species